UACAGAGGGGGCAAGCGUUGUUCGGAAUUACUGGGCGUAAAGGGCGCGUAGGCGGCCUGCUAAGUCGAACGUGAAAUCCCUGGGCUCAACCCAGGAACUGCGUCCGAUACUGGUUGGCUUGAAUCCGGGAGAGGGAUGCGGAAUUCCAGGUGUAGCGGUGAAAUGCGUAGAUAUCUGGAGGAACACCGAUGGCGAAGGCAGCUCUCUGGGACGGUACUGACGCUGAGACGCGAAAGCGUGGGGAGCGAACAGG
rnacentral:rRNA from 1 species